AAGAAGAGCAAAUGUUGAAAUAACGAGAGAUAAGUGAGAAAAGUAACAAAAAAGGUUUACUUUUCUCACUUAUCUCUCGUUAUUUCAACAUUUGCUCUUCUUAUG
rnacentral:miRNA from 1 species